rnacentral:tRNA from 1 species
GCCUGGGUGGCUCAGUCAGUUAAGUGUCUGACUUCAGCUCAGGGUCCUGGGAACAAAUCCCACUUCAGGCU